UACGUAGGUGCAAGCGUUGUCCGGAAUUAUUGGGCGUAAAGAGCUCGUAGGCGGUUGUGCGUCGGCUGUGAAAUCCCGAGGCUCAACCUCGGGUCUGCAGUCGAUACGAGCAAACUAGAGUGUUGCAGGGAGACUGGAAGUUCUGGUGUAGCGGUGAAAUGACGCAGAGUAUCAGGAGGAACACCGGUGGCGAAGCGGGUCUCUGGGCCGAAUACUGAC
rnacentral:rRNA from 1 species